UUACAGCAGUAGCCCUGGAGGAGAGGAGAGAAAGGUCUGUUUACAGCAGUAGCCCUAGAGGAGGAGAGGAGAGAAAGGUCUGUUUACAGCAGUAGCCCUGGAGGAGGAGAGGAGAGAAAGGUCUGUUUACAGCAGUAGCCCUGGAGGAGGAGAGGAGAGAAAGGUCUGUUUACAGCAGUAGCCCUGGAGGAGGAGAGGAGAGAAAGGUCUGUUUACAGCAGUAGCCCUGGAGGAGGAGAGGAGAGAAAGGUCUGUUUACAGCAGUAGCCCUGGAGGAGGAGAGAAAGGUCUGUUUACAGCAGUAGCCCUGGAGGAGGAGAGGAGAGAAAGGUCUGUUUACAGCAGUAGCCCUGGAGGAGAGGAGAGAAAGGUCUGUUUACAGCAGUAGCCCUGGAGGAGGAGAGGAGAGAAAGGUCUGUUUACAGCAGUAGCCCUGG
ensembl:lncRNA